GAUGAAGAACGCAGCGAAAUGCGAUACUUGGUGUGAAUUGCAGAAUCCCGUGAACCAUCGAGUCUUUGAACGCAAGUUGCGCCCGAAGCCAUCAGGUUGAGGGCACGUCUGCCUGGGCGUCACAUAUCGUUGCCCAAUGCCUAUUGCAGUGCAAUAGGAAUUUCUAGGGCGAAUGAUGGCUUCCCGUGAGCGUUGUUGCCUCGCGGUUGGUUGAAAAUCGAGUCCUUGGUAGGGUGUGUCAUGGUAGAUGGUGGUCGAGUUAGAACGAUACCGAUCAUGUGCAUGCUCCCCAAAAUAUGGCCUCUAUGACCCACACGCGUCUUUUGACGCUCAUGACGAGACCUCAGGUCAGGCGGGGCUACCCGCUGAAUUUAAGCAUAUCAAUAAGCGGAGGA
rnacentral:misc_RNA from 1 species